rnacentral:rRNA from 1 species
UACGGAGGAUCCGAGCGUUAUCCGGAUUUAUUGGGUUUAAAGGGUGCGCAGGCGGGGGAUUAAGUCGGCGGUGAAAUUUUGCAGCUCAACUGUAAAAGUGCCUUCGAAACUGGUUUCCUUGAGUGUAGAUGAAGUAGGCGGAAUUUGUGGUGUAGCGGUGAAAUGCAUAGAUAUCACGAGGAACUCCGAUUGCGCAGGCAGCUUACUAAACUACUACUGACGCUCAGGCACGAAGGCGUGGGGAUCAAACAGGAUUAGAUACCCCCGUAGUCCCUGA